rnacentral:tRNA from 1 species
UGGCUCAGUGGUAGAGCGCAUGCCUUGCAUGCCUGAGGCCCUGGGUUCGAAUCCUCAG